UUGGCUCCCCAGGAGAGACUGAGGCUUGGGAAGCCGAGGGUGUUUUUCUCUCGUGCUGAAUCGGGCUCAUUGUUCCCUACCAGGUUGCUUUUCCUUCAUGUUUUCUACCCUCUCUGUGAAAUAGUAUUAGAGACUCUAUGAGCUAGUUAUAUUGGCGGUGACUUCUGCAGAAAAACCCGGGUGCCACUAUUUCACUGCAAAGCACUUUGGAAGUGACUCGACUUCAGAAGACAGCAGGAAUGGAUGCAAUGUGAAGCUGAAAAUCUGUUUCUCUUCAGAGAUUGUGCUCCAAAAGCUCCCUGAAUCAAGCAGAAAAUGUCAGUUGACUCUAUGCAUUUAUUUUAGUCUUGUUCAAAGGUGAGAAACUGGAGAAGAGACAGACCAGAUAUUACAUAGCUGUUUGGGAGGUCUGUGAAGAUGCUGAGCAUACUGGGUAAAAGUAUUGUAUUAUGGAAAGCAUUGGACAAAACUCAAUUAAAAAGGUCACGUGUGCAUUUUCAAGCUCUUUCUCCUGUUCAAACAACAGCUAUGCAAAUAGAACAGGCACAUGAAUUUAAAAUCUGCCUAUGCCGCCUAUUUUCUUUGCUCCUAUCCUUUUAAGUGCCUAUAAAUAAUAAUACAAACUAAGGCAUUAUGGUCCGAUGCUGUAUCUGGAGCACGCUUCAAAUAAUGAAGUUUUUGGAGAAGCUCCUACUGUUAUUAGAGAUAGCUUUGUAGUUUGGUCAGUAUUCAUUCUGGUAGAUUGCAUGUGAGCCACAAUCAUAGUCAAUGAUGGACUUUUUACAGUUCUAUAGUUAAAAGGCUAUCUUUUCAUGUUGACUAUUUUUAAAUUCAUGAUCAGGUUAGAGGUCCUAGUCUUAGUUCAGAAAAUGACAUUCUUUACAGAACUGGGCAAAUAAUUUUAAUAUAAAUUAGGUAAGGCAAGCUUAUUAAUCAUUUAAGACUGUCAGAAUUUGAACUUAUUUUGGAAUAUAUUGAGUUUAACUUUAGGAAAACAGCUUUAUUAUGUUGUAGGUUGACUAAGCCUAAAACACUAUCUUGAGUUAACAACCCAGAGAGUAAUGCAUAUAGGGCUUGCAAAGGCUCAUAAACUCCUCAGCUAAUUUAGCAGGAGGCUCUAUCUUCCAACCUUAUUAACAAUAAAAUAUUUUAAAUAAACUCCAACAAAAUGAUUGCGGGGUUUCUUCUACUACCUUAUGGCUGUUGUCACACUGCAACUAUUAAAGUAAUGUUAUUUUAAUGGGAAUAUAUAUGUACACACAUAGCAGUCAGAUGCUUUAUUGUACAAGCACAAUUAUACAUGCCUUUUGGUACAGAGGUCACAAUUACUGAGGUAGUAUUUGCCAGCUGUUGCACACAGCAUUAUCUGUGAAACUGCAUGUUUGCCCAGCAAUCAGAACUGGCUAAAAUGCGAAAGUAAAGGUGCUUGUACAUAAGGUGAUUACUAUGGUCAUUGUUACUAUGCAGUAGAGUUACUGCAGUUGCAGUCUUACUAACAGAGAGGGGAAGGAUAGAUGCCUGCCUGUUUCUAGGAGCUCCUGUCUGCCAGUUUAGCGACAGCACUUCUGUGGUGAUUGAAUGUGAUACCCCACUUUAAAAUCAAAUCAGAACAACAGGAAGCAACUUCUGCAGGUGCCUUACUACAUGUAGAUAACUACCUCAGAACAGAAGCCUGACUUCUGGGUAGCUACUUUUAAAUUCAACCCCACCUGUAAGAAUUGUACAGGGAUGUUCUAGAUGGGGUGUAAAAAGCAAUGAGAAUCCCCGCCCUUGGUUCACUGUUUGUGAUGGUGUUAAUGCAGCCAUGAUGCUCUUGGCUUUCAUUGAUGCCAGGCCUGAGCUGGCACACCCUCGUCUCCAGUGUCCACCAGGACAUAAUGGCUGGUUUCCACAGAGCUGUAGCCUGAGUCAUUGCCAGGGCUUCUUCCCUUCCAGGAGUGGGACUUGGUCUUGGUCCUUGAUGAAUUUCACAAGGUUCCUGUUAGGCUUUUCCUCUAGCCUCUGCAGGUGCCUCUGAAUGGAGGCCCUGCCCUUCAGUGGAUCGACUGCUCCCCCCAGCACUGCCCCAAUUUGGUGUCAUGUACAAGCUUGAUGAGAGUAGCCUCUGUGGCUUCCUUCAGGUCAUUGAUGAAGAUUUGAAGGACAGAAGCCAGGACAGGCCCCGAGUGUAUUUUGCUUGCUACCUCCAGGUAGAGCGUGACCCACCAAGAGCUGCCCUCUCAGCCUGCCCACCCCACUGGUUUUCCAUCCAUGUAGCUGUCUAUGCAUCCAGCAUAAUGCAA